GCUAUUGGAGUUCGAUUAAGCCAUGCGAGUAGAGAGAAUUAGAUUCUUUGCAUACUGCUCAGUAACACGUGGAUAACCUGCCCUACACUGGGGGAUAAUCUCGGGAAACUGAGCAUAGUACCCCAUAGACCACUACGCCUGGAACGGUGAGUGGUUCAAAGCUUCGGCGGUGUAGGAUGGGUCUGCGGCGUAUCAGGUCGUAGGGGGUGUAAUGGACCUCCUAGCCAUCGACGCGUACGGGUUGUGGGAGCAAUAGCCCGGAGACGGAUUCUGAGACACGAAUCCGGACCCUACGGGGUGCAGCAGGCGCGAAAACUUCACACUGCAGGAAACUGUGAUGAGGGAACUCCAAGUGACUGCACAAUGUGUAGCCUUUUCAUGAAUCUUAAUAGUUCUUGGAAUAAGGGCUGGGAAAGACCGGUGCCAGCCGCCGCGGUAAUACCGGCAGCUCAAGUGGUCGUCGCUUUUAUUGGGCCUAAAACGUCCGUAGCCUGUUUGGUAAAUCUGUGGGUAAAUCAACGAGCUUAACUCGUUGAAUUCUGCAGAGACUGCCAGACUAGGGACCGGGAGAGGUAUGAGGUACUCUGGGGGUAGGGGUAAAAUCCUGUCACCCCCAGAGGACCACCUGUUGCGAAGGCGUCAUACUGGAACGGAUCCGACGGUCAGGGACGAAGCCUAGGGGCACGAACCGGAUUAGAUACCCGGGUAGUCCUAGGUGUAAACGCUGUGGAAUUGGUGU
rnacentral:rRNA from 1 species